UUCGAGCGAAAGCGAGAAAGCGUUGCCAACGGCAACGACCCGAAGGGCGAAGCGCGCAGCGCUGAGUAAUCCUUCCCCCGUCAUCC
rnacentral:sRNA from 1 species